UUAACACAUGCAAGUCGAGCGCCCCGCAAGGGGAGCGGCAGACGGGAGAGUAACACGUGGGAACGUACCCUUCGGUUCGGAACAACCCAGGGAAACUUGGGCUAAUACCGGAUACGUCCGUAAGGAGAAAGAUUCAUCGCCGAAGGAUCGGCCCGCGUCUGAUUAGCUAGUUGGUGGGGUAACGGCCCACCAAGGCGACGAUCAGUAGCUGGUCUGAGAGGAUGAUCAGCCUCACUGGGACUGAGACACGGCCCAGACUCCUACGGGAGGCAGCAGUGGGGAAUAUUGGACAAUGGGCGCAAGCCUGAUCCAGCCAUGCCGCGUGGGUGAUGAAGGCCCUAGGGUUGUAAAGCCCUUUCGGCGGGAAAGAUAAUGACGGUACCCGCAGAAGAAGCCCCGGCUAACUUCGUGCCAGCAGCCGCGGUAAUACGAAGGGGGCUAGCGUUGCUCGGAAUCACUGGGCGU
rnacentral:rRNA from 1 species